rnacentral:rRNA from 1 species
AGAGUUUGAUCAUGGCUCAGAAUCAACGCUGGCGGCGUGCCUAACACAUGCAAGUCGCACGAGAAAGGGGAGCAAUCCCUGAGUAAAGUGGCGCACGGGUGAGUAACACGUGAAUUAUCUACCUCCGAGUGGGGAAUAACUGAGAGAAAUCUUAGCUAAUACCGCAUAACACUUACGAGUCAAAGCAGCAAUGCGCUUGGAGAGGAGUUCGCGGCCGAUUAGUUAGUUGGCGGGGUAAUGGCCCACCAAGACGAUGAUCGGUAUCCGGCCUGAGAGGGCGCACGGACACACUGGAACUGAAACACGGUCCAGACUCCUACGGGAGGCAGCAGUGGGGAAUUUUGCGCAAUGGGGGAAACCCUGACGCAGCAACGCCGCGUGGAGGAUGAAAUAUCUUGGUAUGUAAACUCCUUUCGAUGGGGAAGAUUAUGACGGUACCCAUAGAAGAAGCCCCGGCUAACUUCGUGCCAGCAGCCGCGGUAAUACGAGGGGGGCAAGCGUUGUUCGGAUUUAUUGGGCGUAAAGGGUGCGUAGGCGGUUUGGCAAGUCUGAUGUGAAAUCUAUGGGCUCAACCCAUAGUCUGCAUCAGAAACUGCCGGGCUUGAGUAUGGGAGAGGUGAGUGGAAUUUCCGGUGUAGCGGUGAAAUGCGUAGAUAUCGGAAGGAACACCUGUGGCGAAAGCGGCUCACUGGACCAUUACUGACGCUGAUGUACGAAAGCUAGGGGAGCAAACAGGAUUAGAUACCCUAGUAGUCC